rnacentral:rRNA from 1 species
AGGGAAUCUUCCGCAAUGGACGAAAGUCUGACGGAGCAACGCCGCGUGAGCGAAGAAGGUCUUCGGAUCGUAAAGCUCUGUUGUCAGGGAAGAACAAGUACCGUUCGAACAGGGCGGUACCUUGACGGUACCUGACGAGGAAGCCACGGCUAACUACGUGCCAGCAGCCGCGGUAAUACGUAGGUGGCAAGCGUUGUCCGGAAUUAUUGGGCGUAAAGCGCGCGCAGGCGGUUCCUUAAGUCUGAUGUGAAAUCUCGCGGCUCAACCGCGAGCGGCCAUUGGAAACUGGGGAACUUGAGUGCAGGAGAGGGGAGCGGAAUUCCACGUGUAGCGGUGAAAUGCGUAGAGAUGUGGAGGAACACCAGUGGCGAAGGCGGCUCUCUGGCCUGUAACUGACGCUGAGGCGCGAAAGCGUGGGGAGCGAAC